UUAAUUUGGUUCUUAUCCAACUUGGAAGUGUUUCAAGCAUGGAAGGAGUCCUCUGUGCCCACUAGGUCUCACUCCAAAAAUUUAAUGCUACCUUUUCUUAAUUAGCAUUAAGAUAUGAAGAGAUCUUCUUAAAGAAUACUCUUAUCUCUUCAGUUUUCAUCUAGAUUCUUAAAUAUUACAUGCUGAAUUUGUGUGGAAAAUUUAUGGGACACAGAAGAGAAAAAGUCCUUCUAUGUGAAGGCUCUUCUGCACCAAAAUAAAUCACAGAGAUUUAUUUCUCCACAUGAGAAGUUGGAGCGCCAAGAGUUGGUGCCCC
rnacentral:lncRNA from 1 species